rnacentral:rRNA from 1 species
AUUGAACGCUGGCGGCAUGCCUUACACAUGCCAGUCGAACGGUAACAGGUCUUCGGAUGCUGACGAGUGGCGAACGGGUGAGUAAUACAUCGGAACGUGCCCGAUCGUGGGGGAUAACGAGGCGAAAGCUUUGCUAAUACCGCAUACGAUCUACGGAUGAAAGCGGGGGAUCUUCGGACCUCGCGCGGACGGAGCGGCCGAUGGCAGAUUAGGUAGUUGGUGGGAUAAAAGCUUACCAAGCCGACGAUCUGUAGCUGGUCUGAGAGGAUGAUCAGCCACACUGGGACUGAGACACGGCCCAGACUCCUACGGGAGGCAGCAGUGGGGAAUUUUGGACAAUAGGCGAAAGCCUGAUCCAGCCAUGCCGCGUGCAGGAUGAAGGCCUUCGGGUUGUAAACUGCUUUUGUACGGAACGAAAAGCCUCUUUCUAAUAAAGAGGGGUCAUGACGGUACCGUAAGAAUAAGCACCGGCUAACUACGUG